rnacentral:rRNA from 1 species
AGCAGAAUUGCCAGAGAA